rnacentral:rRNA from 1 species
UACGGGGGGGCAAGCGUUGUUCGGAAUUACUGGGCGUAAAGGGCUCGUAGGCGGUCAGCACAAGUCAGUUGUGAAAUCUCCGGGCUUAACUCGGAAAGGUCAACUGAUACUGUGCGACUAGAGUGCAGAAGGGGCAACUGGAAUUCUCGGUGUAGCGGUGAAAUGCGUAGAUAUCGAGAGGAACACCUGCGGCGAAGGCGGUUGCUGGGCUGACACUGACGCUGAUGCGCGAAAGCCAGGGAGCGAACGGG